GACGAACGCUGGCGGCGUGCCUAACACAUGCAAGUCGAGCGAAAAGACGAGGAGCUUGUUCCUCUGACGUUAGCGGCGGACGGGUGAGUAACACGUGGAUAACCCACCUAUAAGACUGGGAUAACUUCGGGAAACCGGCGCUAAUACCGGAUAAUAUAUUGAACCGCAUGGUUCAAUAGUGAAAGACGGCUUUGCUGUCACUUAUAGAUGGAUCUGCGCGGCAUUAGCUAGUUGGUAAGGUAACGGCUUAUCAAGGCAACGAUGCGUAGCCGACGUGAGAGGGGGAUCGGCCGCACGGGAACGUGAACGCGGUCCAGGCUCCUACGGUAGGCAGCAGUAGGGUAUCGUCCGCAGUGGGCGAAAACCUGGCGGAGCGGCGCCGCGUGAGUGAUAGAGGUCUUCGGAUCGUAAUGCUCUGUUAUUGGUGGAGAACAAAUGUGGAAGUAGCUGUGCACGUCUUGACGGUACCUGGUCAGAAAGCCACGGCUAACUACGUG
rnacentral:rRNA from 1 species